GGGAAUGUGGCUUAGUGGUAGAGUGCUUGCCUAGCAUGCAUGAAGCCCUGAGUUCAAUUCCUCGGUACCA
rnacentral:tRNA from 1 species